AUAAAUGCAACGCGAAAGACAAGUACCCGUGUCUGUGAAUACAGCGAGCUUCGGUUGGUGUGAGGAAGCAUUCAUGAUAUGGCGAAUAUCCCUUUCAAGCAGGACACCGAACUUCAGUAACGUGUCAUGGGGGCACCCAUUACAGUGCUAGCAUAUCGUCAUUGGACCGUAUGCGAUGAAGACCAAGGCGCAGCUGGCUUUGGUGAAUUAAGGUGGUACCGCGCAAAGUCGCCCUUAGA
rnacentral:ncRNA from 1 species